GCGGAUGAUGAAGGCUAAUUUCGGAUUGGUGAAGAGCCCUAUGAGCGCUGACG
rnacentral:ncRNA from 14 species